AACGAACGCUGGCGGCAGGCCUAACACAUGCAAGUCGAGCGGGUCCUUCGGGACUAGCGGCGGACGGGUUAGUAACGCGUGGGAAAGUGCCCAAAGGUACGGCAUAGCCUCGGGACACUGAGAGUAAUACCGUAUGUGCCCCUCGGGGGAAAGAUUUAUCGCCUUUGGAUCGGCCCGCGUUGGAUUAGGUAGUUGGUGGGGUAAUGGCCUACCAAGCCGACGAUCCAUAGCUGGUUUGAGAGGAUGAUCAGCAACACUGGGACUGAGGCACGGCCCAGACUCCUACGGGAGGCAGCAGUGGGGAAUCUUAGACAAUGGGGGAAACCCUGAUCUAGCCAUGCCGCGUGGACGAUGAAGGCCUUAGGGUUGUAAAGUCCUUUCAGCUGGGAAGAUAAUGACGGUACCAGCAGAAGAAGCCCCGGCUAACUCCGUGCCAGCCGCCGCGGUAACAC
rnacentral:rRNA from 1 species